rnacentral:rRNA from 1 species
AUUGAACGCUGGCGGCAUGCUUUACACAUGCAAGUCGAACGGUAACAGGCCUUCGGGUGCUGACGAGUGGCGAACGGGUGAGUAAUGCAUCGGAACGUACCCAGAGGUGGGGGAUAACGCAGCGAAAGCUGUGCUAAUACCGCAUGUGAUCUGAGGAUGAAAGCGGGGGACCGAGCAGCAAUGUUUGGCCUCGCGCCUUUGGAGCGGCCGAUGUCGGAUUAGCUAGUUGGGGGGGUAAAGGCCUACCAAGGCGACGAUCCGUAGCUGGUCUGAGAGGACGACCAGCCACAUGGGGACUGAGACACGGCCCAGACUCCUACGGGAGGCAGCAGUGGGGAAUUUUGGACAAUGGGCGCAAGCCUGAUCCAGCAAUGCCGCGUGCGGGAAGAAGGCCUUCGGGUUGUAAACCGCUUUUGGCAGGAACGAAACGGUGUCCGCUAAUACCGGGCGCUAAUGACGGUACCUGCAGAAUAAGCACCGGCUAACUACGUG